UGUGUCUAUGACUAUGAUCGGUUGUUUGAAACGUAACGACUCUCUGCUUCAAAAGCUCUUCCUUACUUAGUUCCCGAGGUUAUGAAACCGUCACGGACGUUAAAAAGAAAAAACUAAACAAACGGCGUUAACUUCCGUAUAUCAUAAGACACGGUAACGACGUUACCUCUAACGGCUAUGUGUGGUUUAAGAUUCACACGUGUGGCAAAGAAGGUGACAC